rnacentral:rRNA from 1 species
AGCCUACGGGGCGCAGCAGUAGGGAAUCUUCCACAAUGGACGAAGGUCUGAUGGAGCAACGCCGCGUGAGUGAAGAAGGGUUUCGGCUCGUAAAGCUCUGUUGGUAGUGAAGAAAGAUAGAGGGAGUAACUGGCCUUUAUUUGACGGUAAUUACUUAGAAAGUCACGGCUAACUACGUGCCAGCAGCCGCGGGAAUACGUAGGUGGCAGGCGUUGUCCGGAUUUUUUGGGCGUAAAGCGAGUGCAGGCGGGUCAAUAAAGU